GAAAAUGUUAGCGACACCAAAGUGAGAGUGGAGCGUAAAAGCGAAUAUUUAACAAACGGGAGGAUGUUGAAUAGACCCUGAAGCUGAGGGGAUAUUUUAAACCUGCGGGUACCAGCCAGAGCCAGCAGCUACCGGCUACAACAAGCUACAUUAACCCGAAUAGCGGCUAGCUUAGCAACUGUUGCCCCGAUAGCCCGGCGGCUCCGGGCCGAGUGGCGUCCCGACACAGGAGCCGCAGCCGCGCGUGGAGGAACCAGCGAGGCCCGGUACACCUGGCUCUCAUCCAGCCUCCAGUGAUGGCCUCGGGGAUUCCUGCACCGGGGGAAAUGGACGACCUCAGAUUUUUCAGGAAGUAGCACUGACACCUCUAAUGGCGCUAAAUAGAAGACUGCAUGAAGAUGGGAAGAUGCUAAAAAUCACUGCAGUAUAGCUCUACAAUAUGCUCUUUCCUAAUCUUGUGUUCCUUCUUCUAUUCAGACAAAUGGAACGAUAUUUAUGAUGGCAGUGGGGAUCCUUGAGUGCAAGUGUCAACCAGGGGAGUUCAGCAUGUCCUCCUGUUUGUCCAGGCGCUGCAGCAGGGCGGCUUGGUCAGAGUCCCGGCUCUGUCUCAGGGCCUUCAGCUGAUCUCUCAUCUGCUGGUGCUGCUUCCUCAGCCGUUGUUCACGAGUGUCGCGAUCCCGCACCUCCUCACACAGCCAGCGCAGCUUUGUCUGGGUGUUAAAAAAAAUAAAUAAAUACAAGUUAGUUACUGGA